CGUCUUAGCAUGCAGUCGGGCGGCAAGCUGUAGCAAUACAGCCUAGAGCGGCGGACUGGUGAGUAACGCGUGGGUGACCUACCUUGGGGAUGGGGAUAGCCGUUAGAAAUAGCGGGUAAUACCGAAUACGUUCAUUUUACUGUGGUAAGGUGAGCAAAGGGGCUACGGCCCCGCCUUAAGAUGGGCCCGCGUCCUAUUAGGUAGUUGGCGGGGUAAGAGCCCACCAAGCCCGUGAUAGGUAGCCGGCCUGAGAGGGUGAACGGCCACAUUGGGACUGAGAUACGGCCCAAACUCCUACGGGAGGCAGCAGCUAAGAAUAUUCCGCAAUGGACGAAAGUCUGACGGAGCGACGCCGCGUGGAUGACGAAGGCCGGAAGGUUGUAAAAUCCUUUUGCCGCUGAAGAAUAAGCGGGGUAGGGAAUGACCCCGUGAUGACGUUAGGCGGUGAAUAAGCCCCGGCUAAUUACGUGCCAGCAGCCGCGGUAACACGUAAGGGGCGAGCGUUGUUCGGAAUUAUUGGGCGUAAAGGGCGCGUAGGCGGUCUUUUAAGUCUGGAGUGAAAGCCCGCGGCUUAACCGCGGGACUGCUUUGGAAACUGGAAGGCUUGAGUCAUAGAGGGGAGGCCGGAAUUCCUGGUGUAGGGGUGAAAUCUAUAGAUAUCAGGAAGAACACCGAUGGCGAAGGCAGGUCUCUAGCUAAUGACUGACGCUGAGGCGCGAAAGUGCGGGGAGCAAACAGGAUUAGAUACCCUGGUAGUCCGCACUAUAAACGAUGUGCACUAGGUGUCGGGGCGAGCGCUUCGGUGCCGAAGUUAACGUGAUUAGUGCACGCCUGGGAGUAUGCCCGCAGGUGAAACUCAAGGAUGACGGGGCCCGCACAGCGUGAGCAUGUGUUAUCGAUGAUACGCGAGACUACUGGUUGAAUGCGG
rnacentral:rRNA from 1 species